AUUGAACGCUGGCGGCAGGCCUAACACAUGCAAGUCGAACGGUAACAGGAAGAAGCUUGCUUCUUUGCUGACGAGUGGCGGACGGGUGAGGAAUGUCUGGGAAACUGCCUGAUGGAGGGGGAUAACUACUGGAAACGGUAGCUAAUACCGCAUAACGUCGCAAGACCAAAGAGGGGGACCUUCGGGCCUCUUGCCAUCGGAUGUGCCCAGAUGGGAUUAGCUAGUAGGUGGGGUAACGGCUCACCUAGGCGACGAUCCCUAGCUGGUCUGAGAGGAUGACCAGCCACACUGGAACUGAGACACGGUCCAGACUCCUACGGGAGGCAGCAGUGGGGAAUAUUGCACAAUGGGCGUAAGCCUGAUGCAGCCAUGCCGCGUGUAUGAAGAAGGCCUUCGGGUUGUAAAGUACUUUCAGCGGGGAGGAAGGGAGUAAAGUUAAUACCUUUGCUCAUUGACGUUACCCGCAGAAGAAGCACCGGCUAACUCCGUG
rnacentral:rRNA from 1 species